AAUUAUUAAUCGUUCCCCUAAUCAUAUUUAAGGUACAAAAAAACCUGCCCGAGAGCAGGUUUUUAUUUAUU
rnacentral:sRNA from 2 species